CGUUUGGGAGUCUCUGAGCAGCGCUGUUCCGGUACGUGAGUCAACCUCUGUGUCGUUGCCUGGGAAACCACUGGUCGCGCGGCUCCGUUAAGGAUUAUGUUUGCGUAGCGAGCGGGAAAGAGCGGCAGAGAAGUGACGGUGGAUGUGAGGCGGAGCAGAGGAAAAGAUCAGAGGUCGGUGUGUAACAUGUCGGUCGUGGCUCGUAGCGACUCUGCAGCUCCUCUCAGCUGUUUAUCCGUCCGGCUGCAACUUCUACCGUUUAGCGACGAUACAUCUGAAAAUGGCUGAAAAACUAGUGGACAAACCAUCAGCUAAUGCGGACAGAGUUCUCGUGAACUUUGCUUCAGGAAACAAGACGAGCAAACAGGAAGUGAAA